GACGAACGCUGGCGGCGUGCUUAACACAUGCAAGUCGUACGGUAAGGCCCUUUCGGGGGUACACGAGUGGCGAACGGGUGAGUAACACGUGAGUAACCUGCCCACAACUUUGGGAUAACGCUAGGAAACUGGUGCUAAUACUGGAUAUGUGCUCCUGCUGCAUGGUGGGGGUUGGAAAGCUCCGGCGGUUGUGGAUGGACUCGCGGCCUAUCAGCUUGUUGGUGGGGUAGUGGCCUACCAAGGCGGCGACGGGUAGCCGGCCUGAGAGGGUGACCGGCCACAUUGGGACUGAGAUACGGCCCAGACUCCUACGGGAGGCAGCAGGGGGGAAUAUUGCACAAUGGGCGCAAGCCUGAUGCAACAACGCCGCGUGCGGGAUGACGGCCUUCGGGUUGUAAACCGCUUUCAGCAGGGACGAAGCUUUUUGUGACGGUACCUGCAGAAGAAGCACCGGCUAACUACGUG
rnacentral:rRNA from 1 species